AGAGCAAACAUUAGAUCAUAUAAAAGACUGGAACUAUCCUUGGCAUUACUGAAACAUCAACAGGCAGAGUGAGACAGACUUACUGUACAGAGACACAGGGAGAUUCAUUAUAGUGAGUGAGACAGACUUACUGUACAGAGACACAUUAUAGUGAGUGAGACAUAUUGAGAUAUGUUGCUAGCUGUGUGUGUCACUGUUGUCCUGGGCCUUCUCUCAGUGAGUGGCUCCCAGGCGGCCCCUUUAACCUGUGAGGAUCUCCUGAGACCACUGGAGCUGAGCAGUGUCACUCAGACUCUGGGGAGUGGUGUAUAUUGCUGAGAGUUCAGACCGUCCUUUCUGGGAACAAAUACUGUAUACCUUAUUACACAGUGCCUGGAUAGAGGUCUCUGUGCCGGUCGGUACCCAGAACAACAUUCUUGACAUCGCCCAGUUCUAUGGCUUCGGUAUUCCACAUCAAAAUGCUUUUGGAUUCGGAUGCUCCAGGAUCGACUCUAACUUUACUCUGCAUGACAACAGCACAUGGAGCUCAGUGACCCCCAUCCCUGUUACUGAGAGCCUCCUGACAACGUGCUCAGACUGCCUCCUGACCCUGGAGAGAUGGGAUGAGGAUGAGAAGUCCUACACCUCUCUAACACUCUACAGUAGGAGAAGGGAGCUCACCGCUACUGAACUGGACUUCUAUAAGAAACAGGUGGAUUGUCUCAAUCUGCCACCAGCGACGUUCAUGGAUCCACAAAAAGAUCUCUGUCACGACACAACUCCACUCAUAGAAGAUCAAAUUGCGAAGGAAGUUGAGAGUGCAGUUGAACUUAUUUCAGAGAUUCCAAGAAUGCUCAGAAAUACAUUUGAACAAUUAAAGAAUUCUGUUUAUCAGCCAUUUUCUGAAAUGUUCGGUUAAUGAGUAGUUGCCUCCUCCCUGAUUGGAAGGAGCAUGUGGGCAGCAGUAACCCAGGGUUACAGUACCUAACCCAGCAAGCCUGUAAACAGUGUCUGAUGCCUUGAUGUGGGACCAAACUCCACUCUGCUCGUGUUGCUCUACAUUCAACACAAUAAAUACAGAUUAAGACAAAUGUGA